GACGAACGCUGGCGGCGUGCUUAACACAUGCAAGUCGAACGGCAAGGCCCUGCUGUUGUGGGGUGCUCGAGUGGCGAACGGGUGAGUAACACGUGAGUAACCUGCCCUUGACUUUGGGAUAACUUCAGGAAACUGGGGUUAAUACCGUAUCGCAGCUCACCCGGCAGGGUGGGGGUUGGAAAGUUUCGGCGGGUGGGGAUGGACUCGCGGCUGAUCGGCUUGUUGGUGGGGUAGCGGCUUACCAAGGCCUUGACGGGUGACCGGCCUGGGAGGGUGACCGGCCACAUUGGGACUGAGAGACGGCACAGACUCCUACGUGGGGCAGCGGUGGGAAAUAUUGCACAAUGGGCGGAAGCCUGAUGCAGCAACGCCGCGUGCGGGAAGACGGCCUUCGGGUUGUAAAACGCUUUAGCCUGUGACGAAGCGUGAGUGACGGUACUGGGUAAAGAAGCACCGGCUAACUACGUG
rnacentral:rRNA from 1 species